GACGAACGCUGGCGGCGUGCUUAACACAUGCAAGUCGAACGGAAAGGCCCUGCUUUUGUGGGGUGCUCGAGUGGCGAACGGGUGAGUAACACGUGAGUAACCUGCCCUUGACUUUGGGAUAACUUCAGGAAACUGGGGCUAAUACCGGAUAGGAGCUCCUGCUGCAUGGUGGGGGUUGGAAAGUUUCGGCGGUUGGGGAUGGACUCGCGGCUUAUCAGCUUGUUGGUGGGGUAGUGGCUUACCAAGGCUUUGACGGGUAGCCGGCCUGAGAGGGUGACCGGCCACAUUGGGACUGAGAUACGGCCCAGACUCCUACGGGAGGCAGCAGUGGGGAAUAUUGCACAAUGGGCGGAAGCCUGAUGCAGCAACGCCACGUGCGGGAUGACGGCCUUCGGGUUGUAAACCGCUUUCGCCUGUGACGAAGCGUGAGUGUCGGUAAUGGGUAAAGAAGCACCGGCUAACUACGUG
rnacentral:rRNA from 1 species